GUUAACUUCGGAGCGGCCGCGGUGGGAUUACGAAGGGGGGUCGCGGUGGUCGGGUGUGCUGGGCGGAAAGGGGGCCGAGGCGGCCCGUCAAGUCAGGCGUGGAAGUCCGUGGCUCAACCUGGGAAUUGCGCUUGGGACUGGAGGACUGGAGUUCGGGAGAGGAGCGUGGAAUUCCCAGUGUAGAGGUGAAAGUCGUAGAGAUCGGGAAGAACACCAGUGGCGAAGGCGUUCUGCUGGGCCGUUGCUGACACUGAGGCGCGACAGCGUGGGGAGCAAACAGGAUUAGAUACCCUGGUAGUC
rnacentral:rRNA from 1 species